rnacentral:rRNA from 1 species
CCUACACGACCGUACCGCAAACCGACACUGGUGCGCGAGAUGAGUAUUCUAAGGCGCUUGAGAGAACUCAGGAGAAGGAACUCGGCAAAUUGACACCGUAACUUCGGAAGAAGGUGUGCCUUUAGUAGGUGAAGUCCCUCGCGGAUGGAGCCCAAUGAGGUUGCAAAAAAUCGGUGGCUGCGACUGUUUAUUAAGAACACAGCACUCUGCAAACACGAAAGUGGACGUAUAGGGUGUGACGCCUGCCCGGUGCUGGAAGAUUAAAUGAUGGGGUGCAAGCUCUUGAUUGAAGUCCCAGUAAACGGCGGCCGUAACUAUAACGGUCCUAAGGUAGCGAAAUUCCUUGUCGGGUAAGUUCCGACCUGCACGAAUGGCGUAACGAUGGCCACACUGUCUCCUCCUGAGACUCAGCGAAGUUGAAAUGUUUGUGAUGAUGCAAUCUCCCCGCGGAAAGACGGAAAGACCCCAUGAACCUUUACUGUAGCUUUGUAUUGGACUUUGAACAGAUCUGUGUAGGAUAGGUGGGAGGCUUUGAAGCAGGGUCGCUAGAUCUUGUGGAGCCAACGUUGAAAUACCACCCUGGUGUGUUUGAGGUUCUAACCUAGGCCCGUAAUCCGGGUUGGGGACAGUGCAUGGUAGGCAGUUUGACUGGGGCGGUCUCCUCCCAAAGUGUAACGGAGGAGUUCGAAGGUACGCUAGUUACGGUCGGACAUCGUGACGAUAGUGCAAUGGCAUAAGCGUGCUUAACUGCGAGACUGACAAGUCGAGCAGAUGCGAAAGCAGGACAUAGUGAUCCGGUGGUUCUGUAUGGAAGGGCCAUCGCUCAACGGAUAAAAGGUACUCUGGGGAUAACAGGCUGAUACCGCCCAAGAGUUCAUAUCGACGGCGGUGUUUGGCACCUCGAUGUCGGCUCAUCUCAUCCUGGGGCUGUAGCCGGUCCCAAGGGUAUGGCUGUUCGCCAUUUAAAGAGGUACGUGAGCUGGGUUUAAAACGUCGUGAGACAGUUUGGUCCCUAUCUUCCGUGGGCGCUGCAGAUUUGAGGAAGCCUGCUCCUAGUACGAGAGGACCGGAGUGGACGCACCUCUGGUGUAUCGGUUGUCACGCCAGUGGCAUUGCCGAGUAGCUAUGUGCGGAAGAGAUAACCGCUGAAAGCAUCUAAGCGGGAAACUCGUUUCAAGAUGAGAUCUGCCGGGGCCUUGAGCCCCCUGAAGAGUCGUUCAAGACCAGGACGUUGAUAGGUCGGGUGUGGAAGC